GUGACUGGAGCCCCAGUUGAAAUCAGCAAACUUGAGCUACAGCUGACCAUAGCCCUGUGGAGGGGGGGAGCACCGAACGAGGGAGCAGACCCUUACACAGGCGUUAAACUGUGCGGGAUUUCUCCUGACCGACGACUCACGAGCAGCUCCUCAAAGCCUGGGACUGAGCCCGGCUCUGGUGACCGAUGCCGAAGGGGUGG
rnacentral:lncRNA from 12 species